rnacentral:rRNA from 1 species
GGUGUGAGGGCACGACACCGGAGAGGGAGCCUGACAAACGGCUACCACAUCCAAGGAUGGCAGCAGCGCGCGCAAAUUACCCAAUCCCGACACGGGGAGGUAGUGACAAUAAAUACACAAUACAGGGUUCUUUAGGAUCUCGUAAUUGGAAUGAGUACAAUUUAAAUCUCUUAACGAGGAACAAUUGGAGGGCAAGUCUGGUGCCAGCAUCCACGGUAAUUCCAGCUCCAAUAGCGUAUAUUAAAGUUGUUGCAGUUAAAAAGCUCGUAGUUGAAUUUCGGGGUUAGUACGUUGGUCAUGCCUCCGGUAUGUACUGAUCUCACUGAUUCCUCCUUCCUUAUGAACCGUAAUGCCAUUAAUUUGGUGUUGCGGGGAAUUUGGACUGUUACUUUGAAAAAAUUAUAGUGUUUAAAGCAGGCUAACGCUUGAAUACAUUAGCAUGGAAUAAUGAAAUAGGACGUUCGAUCUUAUUUUGUUGGUUUCUAGGAUUGACGUAUUGAUUAAUAGGGAUAGUUGGGGGCAUUAUUAUUCAAUUGUCAGAGGUGAAAUUCUUGGAUUUAUUGAAGACUAACUACUGCGAAAUCUUUUGCCAAGGAUGUUUUCAUUAAUCAAGAACGAAAGUUAUGGGAUCGAAGACAAUCAGAUACCGUCGUAGUCUUAACCAUAAACUAUGCCGACUACGGAUCGGAUGAUGUUAUUUUUUAUGACUCAUUCGGCGCCUUACUGGAAACAAAUUGUUG